AACGAACGCUGGCGGCAGGCUUAACACAUGCAAGUCGAGCGCCCCGCAAGGGGAGCGGCAGACGGGUGAGUAACGCGUGGGAACAUACCCUUUGGUUCGGAAUAACUCAGGGAAACUUGAGCUAAUACCGGAUACGUCCGUAAGGAGAAAGAUUUAUCGCCAAAGGAUUGGCCCGCGUCCGAUUAGCUAGUUGGUGAGGUAACGGCUCACCAAGGCUACGAUCGGUAGCUGGUCUGAGAGGAUGAUCAGCCACAUUGGGACUGAGACACGGCCCAAACUCCUACGGGAGGCAGCAGUGGGAAUAUUGGACAAUGGGCGCAAGCCUGAUCCAGCCAUGCCGCGUGAGUGAUGAAGGCCUUAGGGUUGCAAAGCUCUUUUGUCCGGGAAGAUAAUGACUGUACCGGAAGAAUAAGCCCCGGCUAACUUCCGUGCCAGCAGCCGCGGUAAU
rnacentral:rRNA from 1 species